rnacentral:lncRNA from 10 species
GUGGGAUUUUCGCGGUGGAUAUUCUGCCUGGGGCCUGUCUCUGCAUUCAUAUCUAUUCGGCAUUCUUGGAUCCAGCCAAGCAGAGAAAUGAUUUUCUCAACAGCGAGAUAUAGAAGAAAUUUGAUAAUAAUGCGGAAGUAACUUCUAAGCAUCCUUUUACAGAAAAGUAGGAUCACAUUUGGCCAAAGAACCACCAGAAAGUAAGAGCAGUGCUUCAAAACGGCCUAGAGGGUGCUCACUCAGCCCCAGCCCGGCAGCCUCUGAAGGCCUCUGGGAGGCUGGUCUGUGGUGUGGGCCACAGACUCGGCUCCGAUAAGAGCAGUGAGAGAGCAGCACGUUGGAUGACGAGCGCAGAUUCAAGGAAUGGAAUUUACGUUGCCCAGUGCCAGCAAAUUCCGAGAAGUAAUACAUUUUAUUAAAAAAACUCAACUUUUAACUUUGUUUUGAAAUAAUUGUAGAUAUACAUGCAGGAGCAUAAAAUAAUGCAGGGAGAUAUCAAAUGCCCAGUUUCCCUCAAUGAUAACAUUCGUGCGAAACUACAGCGCACUUCACAGCCAGAUAGCGACAUUGAUGUCAUCUACUGAUGUUGUUCAGAUUUCCCCAAUCGGUCUUCACUCACUCAGAUGAGCAUUGAGUUCUAUGCAAUGCUAUCACCCAGGCAGAUUCAUGCACCCAUCAUCGCAGUUAAGACGCUGAACCUUCCCACCACCGCAGGAAUUCUAUAUGAUGACCUGCCCCGUUAUGACCUCACAGAACCUUCCCACCACCUCAGGAAUUCUAUAUGAUGACCUGCCCGUUAUGACCUCACAGAACCUUCCCACCACCGCAGGAAUUCUAUAUGAUGACCUGCCCUGUUAUGACCACACAG